GACGAACGCUGGCGGCGUGCUUAACACAUGCAAGUCGAACGGAAAGGCCCUGCUUUUGUGGGGUGCUCGAGUGGCGAACGGGUGAGUAACACGUGAGUAACCUGCCCUUGACUUUGGGAUAACUUCAGGAAACUGGGGCUAAUACCGGAUAGGAGCUCCUGCUGCAUGGUGGGGGUUGGAAAGUUUCGGCGGUUGGGGAUGGACUCGCGGCUUAUCAGCUUGUUGGUGGGGUAGUGGCUUACCAAGGCUGUGACGGGUAGCCGGCCUGAGAGGGUGACCGGCCACAUUGGGACUGAGAUACGGCCCAGACUCCUACGGGAGGCAGCAGUGGGGUAUAUUGCACAAUGGGCGGAAGCCUGAUGCAGCAACGCCGCGUGCGGGAUGACGGCCUUCGGGUUGUAAACCGCUUUCGCCUGUGACGAAGCGUGAGUGACGGUAAUGGGUAAAGAAGCACCGGCUAACUACGUGCCAGCAGCCGCCGUAA
rnacentral:rRNA from 1 species